GAAUCCUUCCCAAAUAAUACUUGUCGAAUUCCAAGCUAAAAAAGAACCAUAUGUCUGCAACAUGAAAAAUGAAUUGAGAAGCUAAUUCAUGUAGGAAGAUCUUUUCCUUAAUUACAAGACCCAAUCUUUCGACCUUAAUAGCAACAAUAAUUUGCGUUCUUGAAGGAUAUUUCUCAAUUACAAGAGCCAGAGUAUCUGCAAUAUCAUUGCCUUCUUGAAAAGCUUCAUCUUCCAUAAUCUUGCACUUAUCCAAGAUUUCAGUGCAUUCUUUAAGUCUCUUUCUAUUGGACCAUGACAGCCCUACAACAUCUGCACUACCUUCUUUCCAUUUGAAAGGUUCCAAAAAAUGGCAGCACACUUGUUGAACCUCUUCUUCAAUGGUAUCAAUGGCA
rnacentral:misc_RNA from 1 species